CGCAAGCCUGACGGAGCAACGCCGCGUGAGGGAUGAAGGCCUCUGGGCUGUAAACCUCUUUUCUCAAGGAAGAAGAACUGACGGUACUUGAGGAAUAAGCCACGGCUAAUUCCGUGCCAGCAGCCGCGGUAAUACGGGAGUGGCAAGCGUUAUCCGGAAUUAUUGGGCGUAAAGCGUCCGCAGGCGGUCUUGAAAGUCUGUUGCUAAAGCGUGGAGCUCAACUCCAUUUCAGCAAUGGAAACUAGAAGACUAGAGUGUGGUAGGGGCAGAGGGAAUUCCCGGUGUAGCGGUGAAAUGCGUAGAUAUCGGGAAGAACACCAGUGGCGAAGGCGCUCUGCUGGGCCAUAACUGACGCUCAUGGACGAAAGCCAGGGGAGCG
rnacentral:rRNA from 1 species